GGCCCUACGGGAGGCAGCAGUGGGGGAUAUUGCACAAUGGGGGGAACCCUGAUGCAGCGACGCCGCGUGGGCGAUGGAGCGCCUCGGCGCGUAGAGCCCUAUCAGCAGGGAAGAAAAUGACGGUACCUGACUAAGAAGCCCCGGCUAAAUACGUGCCAGCAGCCGCGGUAAUACGUAUGGGGCAAGCGUUAUCCGGAUUUACUGGGUGUAAAGGGAGCGCAGGCGGCCUGGCAAGCCUGAUGUGAAAAUCCGGGGCCCAACCCCGGAACUGCAUUGGAAACUGUAUUUCUAGAGUGUCGGAGAGG
rnacentral:rRNA from 1 species